GCUGGAGUGGCGGAACUGGCAUACGCGCCGGUCUCAAAAACCGGUAACCGUAAGGUUGUGUGGGUUCGAUUCCCACCUCCAGCA
rnacentral:tRNA from 1 species